rnacentral:rRNA from 1 species
UACAGAGGUGCUCAAGCGUUGUUCGGAUUCAUUGGGCGUAAAGGGUGCGUAGGUGGCGCCGUAAGUCAGGUGUGAAAUUUCGGAGCUUAACUCCGAAACUGCAUUUGAUACUGCGGUGCUUGAGGACUGGAGAGGAGACUGGAAUUUACGGUGUAGCAGUGAAAUGCGUAGAGAUCGUAAGGAAGACCAGUGGCGAAGGCGGGUCUCUGGACAGUUCCUGACACUGAGGCACGAAGGCCAGGGGAGCAAACGGG